CCAGCAGCUGCGGUAAUUCCAGCUCCAAUAGCGUAUAUUAAAGUUGUUGCAGUUAAAACGCUCGUAGUUGAACCUUGGGCAAAGUCACUUGGGUAGACCGCAAGGUCUCACUCUUGGGCUACGCCUCUACUGGGGGACUUGGUGCUUUUGUGCCAAGGCAACCCGUGUUACUGUGAAGAAAUUAGAGUGUUUAAAGCAGGCUUACGCUUGAAUACAUCAGCAUGGAAUAACAAUAUAGGACUAUAGUUCUACUUGUUGGUUUGAGAAUUAAAGUAAUGAUUAAUAGGGCCAGUUGGGGGCAUUAGUAUUCAGUAGUCAGAGGUGAAAUUCUUGGAUUUACUGAAGACUAA
rnacentral:rRNA from 1 species